AACUUUUGGCAAUGUGUCACUUGGUUCUGGCAUCGAUGAAGAACGAAGCGAAAUGCGAUAAGUAAUGUGAAUUGCAGAAUUCAGUGAAUCAUCGAAUCUUUGAACGCACAUUGCGCCCGCCAGUAUUAUGGCGGGCAUGCCUGUUCGAGCGUCAUUUCAACCCUCAAGCCCACGGGCUUGGUGUUGGGGAUCGGCGUGCCCUCGCGGCGCGCCGUCCCCUAAAUCUAGUGGCGGUCUCGCUGUAGCUUCCUCUGCGUAGUAGCAACACUCGCACUGGAUCGCAGCGCGGCCACGCCGUUAAACCCCCCACUUCUGAAAGUUUGACCUCGGAUCAGGUAGGAAUACCCGCUGAACUUAAGCAUAUCAAUAAGCGGAGGCU
rnacentral:misc_RNA from 1 species